rnacentral:rRNA from 1 species
UUUAUGGAGAGUUUGAUCCUGGCUCAGGAUGAACGCUGGCGGCGUGCCUAAUACAUGCAAGUCGAGCGAACGGACGAGAAGCUUGCUUCUCUGAUGUUAGCGGCGGACGGGUGAGUAACACGUGGAUAACCUACCUAUAAGACUGGGAUAACUUCGGGAAACCGGAGCUAAUACCGGAUAAUAUUUUGAACCGCAUGGUUCAAAAGUGAAAGACGGUCUUGCUGUCACUUAUAGAUGGAUCCGCGCUGCAUUAGCUAGUUGGUAAGGUAACGGCUUACCAAGGCAACGAUGCAUAGCCGACCUGAGAGGGUGAUCGGCCACACUGGAACUGAGACACGGUCCAGACUCCUACGGGAGGCAGCAGUAGGGAAUCUUCCGCAAUGGGCGAAAGCCUGACGGAGCAACGCCGCGUGAGUGAUGAAGGUCUUCGGAUCGUAAAACUCUGUUAUUAGGGAAGAACAUAUGUGUAAGUAACUGUGCACAUCUUGACGGUACCUAAUCAGAAAGCCACGGCUAACUACGUGCCAGCAGCCGCGGUAAUACGUAGGUGGCAAGCGUUAUCCGGAAUUAUUGGGCGUAAAGCGCGCGUAGGCGGUUUUUUAAGUCUGAUGUGAAAGCCCACGGCUCAACCGUGGAGGGUCAUUGGAAACUGGAAAACUUGAGUGCAGAAGAGGAAAGUGGAAUUCCAUGUGUAGCGGUGAAAUGCGCAGAGAUAUGGAGGAACACCAGUGGCGAAGGCGACUUUCUGGUCUGUAACUGACGCUGAUGUGCGAAAGCGUGGGGAUCAAACAGGAUUAGAUACCCUGGUAGUCCACGCCGUAAACGAUGAGUGCUAAGUGUUAGGGGGUUUCCGCCCCUUAGUGCUGCAGCUAACGCAUUAAGCACUCCGCCUGGGGAGUACGACCGCAAGGUUGAAACUCAAAGGAAUUGACGGGGACCCGCACAAGCGGUGGAGCAUGUGGUUUAAUUCGAAGCAACGCGAAGAACCUUACCAAAUCUUGACAUCCUUUGACAACUCUAGAGAUAGAGCCUUCCCCUUCGGGGGACAAAGUGACAGGUGGUGCAUGGUUGUCGUCAGCUCGUGUCGUGAGAUGUUGGGUUAAGUCCCGCAACGAGCGCAACCCUUAAGCUUAGUUGCCAUCAUUAAGUUGGGCACUCUAAGUUGACUGCCGGUGACAAACCGGAGGAAGGUGGGGAUGACGUCAAAUCCCANNNNGCNCCUUAUGAUUUGGGCUACACACGUGCUACAAUGGACAAUACAAAGGGCAGCGAAACCGCGAGGUCAAGCAAAUCCCAUAAAGUUGUUCUCAGUUCGGAUUGUAGUCUGCAACUCGACUACAUGAAGCUGGAAUCGCUAGUAAUCGUAGAUCAGCAUGCUACGGUGAAUACGUUCCCGGGUCUUGUACACACCGCCCGUCACACCACGAGAGUUUGUAACACCCGAAGCCGGUGGAGUAACCUUUUAGGAGCUAGCCGUCGAAGGUGGGACAAAUGAUUGGGGUGAAGUCGUAACAAGGUAGCCGUAUCGGAAGGUGCGGCUGGAUCACCUCCUUU